GAUAGAGAUUUGAUGAAAGAUGAGCUGCUCACCCCUCCACAAAGGGGCCAAAAUCCCUUUUGCUUUAUUCUCCAUAGUUGCCCCAGUGAAGUUAUCCUGCUUGUUUCCAAGGCUGGAGGGAACAGGAGGCAUCUCUGCACCUGAGGAGAUAUCAAAACACUGGUGGAGAAAGGGAAGGAUGCUUCAGCCCCACACGAGCUGCAGCUGUUGGAUAUGUCAAAGGAGCAGAUAGCAUCAGGAGCAGAGGUGUGCUAACAAGGAUGUCUUGUGUGUGCUCCCCAGCAGGUCCCCAGGCUGGUGCCUUGUUAAGGUCCCAUGAGUGCUUCCCGAGGAACCCCAAGCAGCCACACAACACCAUGCCAUGCUGCUUGCUCAGAAAGGGGUUUGAGAAAGGAAGCUGGGAUCUGUGCAUGGCUAUGCUGCUCUUCUCAUAGUCAAGAGCAGCCUGUUAAGAGCAGAAGGUGUGAGGACCCAUUCUCAGUCCACUCCUCUGACCUAUCCCCAAAGAAGAGCUCACAGCACAUCAGCUUAGUCUCCACCAAAAGCUUUUGUUUUAAAAGUAUCACUUAGCAGCUGGAUCUCGACCUUGCUUCUUACUUUGAUGCAAAGAAAACUAUUGACUCUCAAGGAGGCGAGCUGUUAGCAUCUCUUCCAACGAAGGUCAGAGAGAUGAAACAUGAAGAAAAAUCAGCAAACAGUGAGGCCACAGCUCAGCUGAGUUAAUGAUAAGUGAGCAUGUGGCAGGGAGCUGAAGUGGGCUUGGAUACAUAGGGCCAAAGCCCACGCUGGUGUAAUCUAGUUAUGGUUUGUUGAAGGCAGUGACCUGGUCCUGUGUAUAGUGCUGGAGGGUCCAACCUGGAGCAGCUUUGCUGGAGAGCUGGAAGUCCUUGUCAUUGCUAGUAACAAUGGCAGAAAGAAAAGAGACCUCUUACUGUUUGGUUGUUGAAAAUGCAUUGGCUUCCACUGGAGAAAGCUAAAA